rnacentral:rRNA from 1 species
UGGGGAAUCUUGGACAAUGGGGGCAACCCUGAUCCAGCGAUGCCGCGUGAGCGAAGAAGGCCUUAGGGUUGUAAAGCUCUUUCGCCCACGACGAUGAUGACGGUAGUGGGAGAAGAAGCCCCGGCUAACUCCGUGCCAGCAGCCGCGGUAAUACGGAGGGGGCUAGCGUUGUCCGGAAUUACUGGGCGUAAAGCGCGCGUAGGCGGUCCACCAAGUCGGGGGUGAAAGCCCGGGGCUCAACCCCGGAAUGUCCUCCGAGACUGAUGGACUGGAGUUCGGGAGAGGAGAGCGGAAUUCCCAGUGUAGAGGUGAAAUUCGUAGAUAUUGGGAAGAACACCGGUGGCGAAGGCGGCUCUCUGGCCCGCAACUGACGCUGAGGCGCGAAAGCGUGGGGAGCAAACAGGAUUAGAUACCCUGGUAGUCCACGCCGUAAACGAUGGACGCUAGACGUCGGGGGGCAUGCCCUUCGGUGUCGCAGCUAACGCAUUAAGCGUCCCGCCUGGGGAGUACGGCCGCAAGGUUAA